rnacentral:rRNA from 1 species
AGAUUAAACUGAAGAGUUUGAUCCUGGCUCAGAUUGAACGCUGGGGCAUGCUUUACACAUGCAGUCGAACGGCAGCGCGGGGGCAACCUGGCGGCGAGUGGGCGAACGGGUGAGUAAUACAUCGAGAACGUACCCAGAAGUGGGGGAUAACGUAGCGAAAGUUACGGCUAAUACCGCAUACGUUCUACGGAAGAAAGUGGGGGAGUCUUCGGACCUCAUGCUUUUGGAGCGCGCCGAUGUCUGAUUAGCUAGUGUGGUGAGGUAAAGGCUCACCAAGGCGACGAUCAGUAAGCUGGUCUGAGAGGACGACCAGCCCACACUGGGACUGAGACAAGGCCCAGACUCCUACGGGAGGCAGCAGUGGGCGAAUUUUGGACAAUGGGCGCAAGCCUGAUCCAGCAAUGGCCGCGUGAGUGAAGAAGCCCUUCGGGUUGUAAAGCUCUUUUGUCAGGGAAGAAACGGUUGAGGCUAAUAUCCUCGGCUAAUGACCGUACCUGAAGAAUAAGCACCGGCUAACUAGCGUGCCAGCAGCCGCGGUAAUACGUAGGGUGCAAGCGUUAAUCGGAAUUACUGGGCGUAAAGCGUGCGCAAGGCGGUUUUUGUAAGUCUGACGUGAAAUCCCCGGGGCUCAACCUGGAAUUGCGUUGGAGACUGCAAGGCUGGAGUCUGGCAGAGGGGGUAGAAUUCCACGUGUAGCAGUGAAAUGCGUAGAGAUGUGGAGGAACACCGAUGGCGAAGGCAGCCCCCUGGGUCAAGAACUGACGCUCAUGCACGAAAGCGUGGGGAGCAAACAGGAUUAGAUUACCCUGGUAGUCCACGCCCUAAACGGAUGUUCUACUAGUUGUCGGUCCUUAAUUGACUUGGUAACCGCAGCUAACGCGUGAAGUAGACCGCCUGGGGAGUACGGUCGCAAGAUUAAAACUCAAGGAAUUGACGGGGACCCGCCACAAGCGGUGGAUGAUGUGGAUUAAUUCGAUGCAACGCGAAAAACCUUACCUACCCUUGACAUGUCAGGAAUCCUCGAGAUCGGGGGAGUGCCCGAAAGGCGAGCCUGAACACAGGUGCUGCAUGGCUGUCGUCAGCUCGUGUCGUGAGAUGUUGGGUUAAGUCCCGCAACGAGCGCAACCCUUGUCAUUAGUUGCUACAUUCAGUUGAGCACUCUAAUGAGGACUGCGGUGACAACCGGAGGAAGGUGGGGAUGACGUCAAGUCCUCAUGGCCCUUAUGGGUAGGGCUUCACACGUCAUACAAUGGUACAUACAGAGGGCCGCCAACCCGCGAUGGGGAGCUAAUCCCAGAAAGUGAAUCGUAGUCCGGAUCGCAGUCUGGCAACUCGACUGCGUGAAGUUGGAAUCGCUAGUAAUCGCGGAUACAGGCAUGUCGGCGGUGAAUACGUUUCCGGGUCUUGUACACACCGCCGUCACACCAUGGGAGCGGGUUUACCAGAAGUAGGUAGCUUAAACCGCAAGGAGGGCGCUUACGCGGUAGGAUUCGUGACUGGGGUGAAGUCGUAACAAGGUAGCCGUAACGGAAGUGGCGCUUGAUCACCUCCUUUCU